AUUGAACGCUGGCGGCAGGCCUAACACAUGCAAGUCGAACGAGUGGCGGACGGGUGAGUAAUGUCUGGGAAACUGCCUGAUGGAGGGGGAUAACUACUGGAAACGGUAGCUAAUACCGCAUACCAUCGGAUGUGCCCAGAGGGGAUUGGCUAGUCGGUGGGGUAACGGCUCACCUAGGCGACGAUCCCUAGAUGGUCUGAGAGGAUGACCAGCCACACUGGAACUGCGACACGGUCCAGACUCCUACGGGAGGCAGCAGUGGGGAAUAUUGCACAAUGGGCGCAAGCCUGAUGCAGCCAUGCCGCGUGUGUGAAGAAGGCCUUCGGGUUGUAAAGCACUUUCAGCGGGGAGGCGUUACCCGCAGAAGAAGCACCGGCUAACUCCGUGCCAGCAGCCGCGGUAAUUC
rnacentral:rRNA from 1 species